UACGUAGGAUGCAAGCGUUGUUCGGAAUUACUGGGCGUAAAAGAGUACGUAGGCGGUAUGGUAAGUCUGAUAUUAAAAGACCGGAGCUCAACUCCGGGGACUGUAUCGGAAAACUGCCAAAACUAGAGGGACAAAUAGAGGGAAAGUCGGGAAUUUCUCAGUGUAGCGGGUGAAAAAUGCGUAGAUAUUUGGGGAAAGAAACACCCAGUGGGCGAAAAAGC
rnacentral:rRNA from 1 species